AUAAUCAGUUAAGUGAUUGACAGUUGUGGCGUCCUAUCAGGGGAGAGUAUGAUCUAUUUAAUGCGGGUUGGCUGUAUCCGGAGAUACGUCACGUCUUUGCUCCGCCCCGCGUGCGUCAUUCACUCGAGUCUCAGGUAUGUGUUGAUGGCGUCUGGUUUAAAUCAGGUGUUUAGAACACGACUGAUGUGUUGUCAUCCCUUCAAAUUGUAGCUGUCCAUCAGCACUUUUCCGACGGUGCACGUUAUCAGUUCAGAGUGUGUGUCUGUUCACCCUUCAGUUAAUCGGCGGUCUUGAUGAUUGCUGUAAACAGUAGCCAGAGGGAAUUAUAUGUGAGGAAUAUUCUCUUGUGGCGUGGGUCUUCUCUCUCAUCCUCCGGACCGUUCUUCGCUCUCGUCUUCAGUGCGAUCUCCCUCCUGUU